AAAAAGGAUCAGUUUGCUAAUUAUGUCACGCUCAUCCUUGUUGGUGAGUGCUGUAUGGCUAUCAAGACAUUUGACUGAUAUAAUUUUUGUGAAAUUAUAGGGUUGGCUCAGGCUCGCCAAACUGACCCUAAA